rnacentral:misc_RNA from 1 species
GUGAAUCAUCAAAUUUUUGAACGCAAAUUGCACUCUCUUCGGAGAGGAUGCCUGUUUGAGGGUCAGCCUAAAAAAAAAAUCGAAAUAGUCGCUGUUUCGCGGUGACGUUGGUCGGCAAGUGGGUCAACUUAACCCGUUGGGUUUUAAGCGGCUUAAAAUUUUCUUUACGUUUCCGCUAACGUUUCUACGAUAUACUUCUUACACAAUUAGGGCAAUCGAUCUUUAUUAG